rnacentral:rRNA from 1 species
AGUGAACGCUGGCGGUAGGCCUAACACAUGCAAGUCGAACGGCAGCACAGUAAGAGCUUGCUCUUACGGGUGGCGAGUGGCGGACGGGUGAGGAAUACAUCGGAAUCUACUUUUUCGUGGGGGAUAACGUAGGGAAACUUACGCUAAUACCGCAUACGACCUACGGGUGAAAGCAGGGGAUCUUCGGACCUUGCGCGAUUGAAUGAGCCGAUGUCGGAUUAGCUAGUUGGCGGGGUAAAGGCCCACCAAGGCGACGAUCCGUAGCUGGCCUGAGAGGAUGAUCAGCCAGACUGGAACUGAGACACGGUCCAGACUCCUACGGGGGGCAGCAGUGGGGAAUAUUGGACAAUGGGCGAAAGGCUGAUCCAGCCAUACCGCGUGGGGGAAGAAGGACUUCGGGUUGUAAAGCCCUUUUGUUGGGAAAGAAAAGCAGCAGGUUAAUACCCCGCUGUUCUGACGGUACCCAAAGAAUAAGCACCGGCUAGCUUCGUG